UACGUAGGGUGCGAGCGUUAAUCGGAAUUACUGGGCGUAAAGCGUGCGCAGGCGGCCUAUUAAGUCAGAUGUGAAAUCCCCGAGCUCAACUUGGGAACUGCAUUUGAAACUGAUGGGCUAGAGUGUGUCAGAGGGAGGUAGAAUUCCACGUGUAGCAGUGAAAUGCGUAGAGAUGUGGAGGAAUACCAGUGGCGAAGGCGGCCUCCUGGGAUAACACUGACGCUCAUGUACGAAAGCGUGGGGAGCAAACAGG
rnacentral:rRNA from 1 species